UUUUGACUCAGAGUCGGUUCGGAGUCGCCAUCACUAGCCCUUAACACCUGACUGAAAAUGUUCGCUCCUAGCUAACCGACUUUAACGUUACACUGGAUUCCAAACAGACUUAGACACUCUCCAGAAACAUUAACAAGUAUACAUUUAGUGGGUGCCUGAAACCUCGCUGCUGUUUGAGGGGGUUGAGGAACCUGGUGUGAAAACAUUUGCCCCCAUGCACACACACACACACACACACCAUUCACAGACGAAGAAGGAAAAUGCUGUGGUUUUCCCGAGUGUUCCACUCAGGCCUUUAAAUGGGAUUGGGGUGGAGGGGCGAAGAAGGCACCACUAGCAGCUGAUACUGUCCAUCCUAAAAUAGCCCAGAUCACUGAGCUACACUUCACAUACACACUGCACUCACUGGGGACACAGAGUUUGCAAAAGCUCUGAGAAUUAUACUGGAUUAUAUGUUAAGAAUCCAACGUUUCUACUACAAAGGAGAACUCUGAAGACUCAAGAUGCCAAAGAUUGUCAGACCGGAUAACUGUCAACCAGCAAAAACACUGUGGUUUGACCGCAAAAAGUACAUUACUAUAAACUUCCAGGUUCAGAAAGCGACAAAUGUUCAGGUCGACAUCCAGGACACCAAAAUGAUCCUAAGCUGCAAAGAUGACGAUGACAACAACAUCUAUAAUGAGAUCGAAUUUUAUGAUCGAGUGCACAAAUGUGAUUCCAGGGAGAAGGUACAUGACCGGACCAUUAAUGUUCUGAUUAGGAAAAUGAAGGACAAUGUAGCCUGGCCUCGUCUCACUAAAGACAUAGCUAAGCCAGCUUGGCUAUCAGUAGACUUCGAUAACUGGAGAGACUGGGAACAUGAGGAGGAAGAUGGCCAGGCCGAGUUUGAACAGUACAUGGAUGUGAGUACACUUCUUCUUCACUGCUUGCACUUCAGCUUUCUUUGUACAAACUUAAAUUUAUUAGCUUUGGAGAUGUUUUAUCUAAAGCAGUUUAUAAGGAAGCAGAAUACAAUCCAAACCACAAACCUGGCACAAAAGAGCACACAUGAUUUAUGUCUUGAAUCUCAGGACAUAGCAAGAUAAAUAGUGCAUUGCAUAUGUGUUAAUUAUACACAAUCUGUUUUUUUUUUUUUUUAAAUAUAGAUGCUGUCUGAUAUGAAACAGAAAGGAGAGCCACCCAGCAUGGAUGACCUUGACCUUGAUAGUGACUGAGUGACUCCGUCUUCCCAAGGUAAAUCUUUAGUCUGACAAAAUCUCAAAAUCUUUUUAAAGUCUAAUACAUUUUUUAAAUUACAUAUUCUUUUUGAUCCUUACAGAUUGUUUUUCAUUCUCCCCAAGGCUCUGGAAAAUAGCUCAUUGAAAGUACAUGUAUUAUGUAAGGAAUAAAACACUUUUGAGAUGUGCUGUUAUAGAAACAUAAUCAACAACAUGUAAUGUUACCACCUCACAGUUGAUUAUUUUCUGAUACCAGCAUGUCAUAAACUGUUUUAUCUUUCUUAUACCACAGCAAUUUGCUGAUAAACAUUUUCUUAAAUUAUUAAAGACUGUCACAUACUUUUUUAUCCAUUUAUAGUUACAUUUGAUGUUGUGGAACAUCCAUGAAACAAGUAAACAGUCAUUCCCUCUCUUUACCAGCAUUUCAUUAUUUUUGUCUCUUGAAGUUAAUAAGACAGAAACGCAGUUGUCAUGUUACCAAGAAACUACAAAGCAUAAAGUCUUAUGUACUUCGUCCUUCCUGAGGCAUAAAGCUUCAUAUUACAACUUUACUUCUGACUGUUACAUAGCCCAGACAUUGGAGACUCCUUCCAAAAAUGCAAAAUAAAACUUUCAAAAAUUAAUAACACAUUUUUAAUCUGGAAAGUCCAUCAUGCAACUCACGGUGUACAUUGUUACUGCAAUAUAUUAGAAUGAUCGCAUUAAUAUAAACCUGUAUAUAUAAACCAAUCAGGUUUGAGAAUUCAAAAGUGCUGUGGUAUAAUUGUUAUUAAAUAUUUUUGGUUAAUAGUAACUAAUCACUGUUGUUCAUAACUGGCCACUUUGUUAUUUAUAAGUUUUUUCUACAACAAUGUUUUGUAAAGACAUUCAACACCUAUUUGUGUAAUAAAUUUCUAUAAAGAAA